UAGAUUGGCUUAGGAAAGAGACUAAAUCUAUUAGUGUGGAAGAAAGUUUGGAUCAUCUUGAGGAACUUGAACUUGACAUGGCAAAUAGUGGAAGAGAUCCUUGCAUUGUUGAUGUAUGAUUGCAAUUUGCUUCUUUGUUACUAGUGUUCAACCAUGCCUUCUAGAGCUCGCUCACAAGUUUGUGAACAUUUUGUGAUGGUUCAAGACAAUGAAGAAGGGCGUAAAGCUAGGUGCUUAACAUGCGGUGCGAUACUUAAUUGUAAUAGAGCAAAUGACACAUCUAGCUUAAUGAAGCAUAUUAAGAGAUGUCUUGAAGAUAGGCGGAUUCACCUUCAACUUUAAGCUUAUGUUUUGAAUUUGGUAAAUUUCGGACUUAAUUAUGAUUGUUAUGUGAGACGACGGAUUUAACACUUGGUGUUACAACUUAUGUUUUGUAUUUGGAGCUAAAAUUUAGGACAUUUAUGUUGUUUGGCCGUUUGGCUGCUGUUCAUUUUAUCGUUAUGUUGUUUGUGUUGCUUGUUUUUGUCUUGUACGUUGUUUGUUGCUGGUCACCGUAAAGGCUUCAGGUUCACAUUAUGUUACUG